rnacentral:lncRNA from 1 species
CUCAUUUGAAAUUUCAUAAAUAAAAAAGAAAAUUUCUUCAAACAUUUUUUUGAGAGGAUUAAUAUUCAACAGCAUAGUGAAUUGCUCUAAGAGAAAACAAAAAUUUUAAGUUCAUUAGAACACAUUCAUUCUGUGUCAGAAACCUAUGCUGUGUCAACUAUUUAAUCACAAUCCAAAUUUAGAGCUGAAUCCAGCGUGAAUGUUGUGUCCAUACUUGCCCCAAC